UCUGAUCUCAUCUCAUCUCAUCUCUCUCUCUCUGUCGUUUCUCUUUCCGUCCCUCUUGACCAAACACAGCCUUAUGAAUAAAUAUUUGACAAAAAAAUGUGCUCCAUAGCCGUCCACCCAAAAUGCACGGACGGUGAAGAGAUCGGACGGUGAGGACGGGCUGGUUCGGGCAAGGUGGUGCCGGCGAUGGGCUGUGGGGAGGACUUAGCCGUGAUGGUCUGGUUCGUGACGAGAUGGCAGCGGCGGUGGACUCGGCCGUGGAUGAUGGCGAAGGCGGCUUGUGAACCCCGACGUGGAGAUGGGCUGGCUGUGACGGCGAUGGGCUGGUUGUGGCUUCGGCUGUGAGCUUGCGGAUGAUGGCAGCGAGCUCUCUCAAACCCUGUACUCUCUCUCUCUAACCUCUUUAUGCUCCAAGCAAACAACGGCAAGAAUGGAAUACGCCGGAAAAGAUGGAGUUCUCUCUACCCAUUCACCAUCAUCUCCACACACUAUGCACCACCCUUGUUAUUUUUUCUACAAUUUUUUUUUCACCCAAACCCUAGCUCCAUCUAUCUUCAAAUUGACUCAAUAAUCUACAUUACACUAACUGAAAUAUUGGGGCUUUGAUUCUAAUAAUCAAAUGUGACGGCUCCAGAUGCAUCGUCUUGGAAUUGUAUGACGUGCUUGAAAGCAUCCUCGGAUGGUGCAUUUUGUGCUAAUGGAGUGAAUCAAGUUCGUUCUCCAUACUCGCCCCUUUGGUCAUUUAGAAAUCUAUUUCAACCUUUCAUGCGUUAUCAAUCAACAUAGUACUUUGUAUCAUCCGUGGGCGUGCUUAGCUUCAAAUGAUGUUACCAAAAGAACAUGUGGUGCAGAAAACCGUACCUGGUAUACAAAUGGUUGUCCAAGCAAAUUUCGGAUUUUUGCAGUUCUUGUUAUGGGAACUGCACCUUGGAUUGUGAACUCAGAGAUAUACCCAUUGAAAUACCGAGGCAUUUGUAGAGGAAUCGCUGCAGUUUCUAACUGGAUUUCCAAUCUCAUCGUAAGUGAGACGUUCUUGACAUUAACUGAGGCGAUUGGUUCAGCUGGCACAUUUCUCCUGUUUGCCGGAUCCAUAUGUGACUCAAGGAGGGUAAUAGAUUGCGCCUGUGGAUGGCUCGAAUGAGGGUGACAGCGGGACGGUGAUAAGCUCGGCUGUGGGCUGUGGCGGCUUGAUGGACGGCGGGAAAGAAGGGCUCACAGGGAAUGAAUGGGAGGAAUGGAAAUUUUGGAAGAGGGAUUUUUUGAAUGAGGGUAAUUUGGUCAUUUUACGUUAUCAAAGGGUAAACAUAUACUUUCAUCAUGUUUGAGGUGUUUUUGUUAAAAAAUGAAUUAAGUUAUAUAUGGCUGUUAAUAUGGCAAACCUUUGUAAUUAAUCAUCUUCUUCUUCUUCUUCUUCUUCUUCUUUUUUUUUUUUUUUUUUUU